rnacentral:rRNA from 1 species
AUUGAACGCUGGCGGAAUGCUUUACACAUGCAAGUCGAGCGGCAGCGCGGCCUUCGGGCUGGCGGCGAGCGGCGAACGGGUGAGUAAUGCAUCGGAACAUGCCCAGUCGUGGGGGAUAACACUUCGAAAGAAGUGCUAAUACCGCAUACGUCCUGAGGGGGAAAGCGGGGGAUCGCAAGACCUCGCGCGAUUGGAGUGGCCGAUGUCAGAUUAGCUAGUUGGUGGGGUAAAGGCCUACCAAGGCGACGAUCUGUAGCUGGUCUGAGAGGAUGAUCAGCCAAACCUGGACUGAGAACAGGCCCCGACCUCUAAGGGAGGCAGGCGUGGGGAAUUUUGGACAAUGGGGGCAACCCUGAUCCAGCCAUUCCGCGUGAGUGAAGAAGGCCUUCGGGUUGUAAAGCUCUUUCGGCAGGAACGAAACGGUGGGCUCUAACAUAGUCCGCUAAUGACGGUACCUGAAGAAGAAGCACCGGCUAACUACGUG